AUUGAACGCUGGCGGCAUGCUUUACACAUGCAAGUCGAACGGUAACAGGCCGCAAGGUGCUGACGAGUGGCGAACGGGUGAGUAAUGCAUCGGAACGUGCCCAGUCGCGGGGGAUAACGCAGCGAAAGUUGCGCUAAUACCGCAUACGAUCUAUGGAGGAAAGCGGGGGACCGUAAGGCCUCGCGCGAGUGGAGCGGCCGAGGUCAGAUUAGGUAGUUGGUGGGGUAAAGGCUCACCAAGCCGACGAUCUGUAGCUGGUCGGAUAGGACGACCAGCCACACUGGGACUGAGACACGGCCCAGACUCCUACGGGAGGCAGCAGUGGGGAAUUUUGGACAAUGGGCGCAAGCCUGAUCCAGCAAUGCCGCGUGCAGAAAGAAGACCUUCGGGUUGUAAACUGCUUUUGUACGGAACGAAACGGUCCUGGUUAAUACCUGGGGCUAAUGACGGUACCGUAAGAAUAAGCACCGGCUAACUACGUGCCAGCAGCCGCCGUAAAAC
rnacentral:rRNA from 1 species